rnacentral:rRNA from 1 species
UACGUAGGAGGCGAGCGUUGUCCGGAAUUACUGGGCGUAAAGAGCGCGUAGGCGGCACGGUACGACCGGUGUGAAAGCCCCCGGCUCAACUGGGGAGGGUCACCGGGUAACGGCCGAGCUACGAGUGCAGGAGAGGGAAGUGGAACUCCGGGAGUAGCGGUGAAAUGCGCAGAUAUCAGGAAGAACACCCGUGGCGAAGGCGGCUCUCUGGGACGGUACUGACGCUGAGACGCGAAAGCGUGGGGAGCGAACAGG